rnacentral:rRNA from 1 species
GAUGAACGCUGGCGGCGUGCCUAAUACAUGCAAGUCGAGCGAACGGACGAGAAGCUUGCUUUUCUGAUGUUAGCGGCGGGCGGGUGAGUAACACGUGGAUAACCUACCUAUAAGACUGGGAUAACUUCGGGAAACCGGAGCUAAUACCGGAUAAUAUUUUGAACCGCAUGGUUCAGAAGUGAAAGACGGUCUUGCUGUCACUUAUAGAUGGAUCCGCGCUGCAUUAGCUAGUUGGUAAGGUAACGGCUUACCAAGGCAACGAUGCAUAGCCGACCUGAGAGGGUGAUCGGCCACACUGGAACUGAGACACGGUCCAGACUCCUACGGGAGGCAGCAGUAGGGAAUCUUCCGCAAUGGGCGAAAGCCUGACGGAGCAACGCCGCGUGAGUGAUGAAGGUCUUCGGAUCGUAAAACUCUGUUAUUAGGGAAGAACAUAUGUGUAAGUAACUGUGCACAUCUUGACGGUACCUAAUCAGAAAGCCACGGCUAACUACGUG